rnacentral:rRNA from 1 species
UACGUAGGGUGCGAGCGUUGUCCGGAAUUAUUGGGCGUAAAGCGCGUGUAGGCGGUCCGGUAAGUCCGCUGUGAAAGUCGGGGGGCUCAACCCUCGAAUGCCGGUGGAUACUGUCGGGCUAGAGUGCGGAAGAGGCGAGUGGAAUUCCUGGUGUAGCGGUGGAAAUGCGCAGAUAUCAGGAGGAACACCGAUGGCGAAGGCAGCUCGCUGGGACGGUACUGACGCUGAGACGCGAAAGCGUGGGGAGCAAACAGG